rnacentral:tRNA from 4 species
GGGCCGCUAGCUCAGUCGGUUAGAGCAGAGGACUCAUAAUCCUUUGGUCCGGGGUUCGAGCCCCCGGCGGCCUACCA